AAAAAAAGACAAACUCACAGAUCCACCUAGAGAUGCUCCUGAGAGAAAAUCGGGGAAUCUCCUAUCUUCUCUGACGGUCAGGAGGCUCUGUGAUGUCACCUAGAGGGUUUCCCUUCUGAUGUAGCAGGUGUGUGACCUGCUCAUCACUCAUUGUCCCAUUUCUGCCACACACAGAGCUGCUGUCUGGGUCUCCUACUGGAGGGUGAAUUUAGCCCUGCACCCAACUACUUCCUUUUAUGGACAGGGGCCCGGAGACUUCCGAACAAGUCUACCAAUCCAAUGAACAACGUUGAUGAACAGAUACAUUAUUUUUGGUAAGCAUU
rnacentral:lncRNA from 1 species